rnacentral:rRNA from 1 species
UUCGAGUGGCGGACGGGUGAGUAACGCGUGGGUAACCUGCCUUACACAGGGGGAUAACACCUGGAAACAGGUGCUAAUACCGCAUAAGCGCACAGGGCCGCAUGGCCCGGUGUGAAAAACUCCGGUGGUGUAAGAUGGACCCGCGUCUGAUUAGCUUGUUGGCGGGGUAGGGGCCCACCAAGGCGACGAUCAGUAGCCGGCCUGAGAGGGUGGACGGCCACAUUGGGACUGAGACGCGGCCCAAACUCCUACGGGAGGCAGCAG